GAUGAACGCUGGCGGCGUGCCUAAUACAUGCAAGUCGAGCGGACGGACGAGAAGCUUGCUUCUCUGAUGUUAGCGGCGGACGGGUGAGUAACACGUGGAUCACCUACCUAUAAGACUGGGAUAACUUCGGGAAACCGGAGCUAAUACCGGAUAAUAUUUUGAACCGCAUGGUUCAAAGGUGAAAGACGGUCUUGCUGUCACUUAUAGAUGGAUCCGCGCUGCAUUAGCUAGUUGGUAAGGUAACGGCUUACCAAGGCAACGAUGCAUAGCCGACCUGAGAGGGUGAUAGGCCACAUGGGAGCUGAGACACGGUCCAGACUCCUACGGGAGGCAGCAGUAGGGAAUCUUCCGCAAUGGGCGAAAGCCUGACGGAGCAACGCCGCGUGAGUGAUGAAGGUCUUCGGAUCGUAAAACUCUGUUAUUAGGGAAGAACAUAUGUGUAAGUAACUGUGCACAUCUUGACGGUACCUAAUCAGAAAGCCACGGCUAACUACGUG
rnacentral:rRNA from 1 species